CAUUUAUAGAUACUUGGUUUAUCAAAGGCUCAAAUCACAACCAGGAAAAACAAAACAAAACAACUGGAAGGGAAGCUACUGCCUACUAAUGUUCAUGUGGCAACAUGAAGUUGAUUUAUACGACGGCGUAGGCGUUGAUUGAAAGCCAAAACUGCCAAAAAAAGCCAGAAACGGGGACCUUUCGCGAGCCAAGAACAAGAAGGGAUGUUGAAUCCUCUUCAAUCUUUUCCCGCUCCGACAUAAACACAAACACUUUGUUAAAAAAUAUCAGUUGAUACUACGGCUACUACUACUACUUUAAUAGUAUAAAUUAGGGAGGAUGAAGUUCGUUCUGGUUACAGGAGGAGUUGUGAGUGGACUGGGUAAAGGCGUCACAGCCAGCAGCAUAGGCGUCGUCCUUAAAGCCUGUGGUCUACGCGUCACUUCCAUCAAAAUUGAUCCAUACCUUAAUACGGAUGCUGGUACCAUGUCUCCUUUUGAACAUGGGGAAGUUUUCGUUCUUGACGAUGGUGGAGAGGUUGAUUUAGAUUUGGGUAACUAUGAACGAUUCCUGGAUGUUACUCUCACAAGAGAUAACAAUAUCACCACUGGAAAGAUAUAUCAGUCUGUACUUGAGAAGGAACGGAGAGGUGAUUAUCUUGGAAAGACAGUUCAGGUGGUUCCACACAUCACAGAUGCCAUCAAGAAUUGGAUUGAGUUUGUUGCUGCUAUUCCUGUGGAUGGUAAAGAAGGCCCGGCAGAUGUUUGUGUGAUUGAGUUGGGGGGAACUGUUGGGGAUAUUGAAUCAAUGCCAUUCAUUGAGGCUUUGCGACAGCUUUCAUUUUCAGUUGGUCAAGAUAACUUUUGUCUCAUUCAUGUGAGCCUGAUACCUGUGCUUGGCGUUGUUGGUGAGCAAAAAACUAAGCCUACACAGCAUAGUGUCCGGGAAUUGAGAGCAUUAGGGUUGACACCUCAUCUCUUAGCAUGUUGCUCUGCCCAGCCUUUGUUGGCAAAUACAAAGGAGAAACUUUCUCAGUUCUGCCAUGUCCCGAUUGCAAAUGUUCUCAAUAUUCAUGAUGUUCCAAACAUUUGGCACGUUCCUCUCUUACUUCGAAGCCAAAAUGCUCAUCAUUCAAUUCUACAACAGCUAAAUUUGCUCUGCAUUGCUGCACCUCCAGAUUUACAAGCUUGGACAAAGAUGGCCGAGACUUUCGAUAAUAUCACCAAUUCUGUGAGGAUUGCUAUGGUUGGAAAGUAUGUUGGCCUUACAGACUCAUAUCUGUCUGUUGUUAAGGCUCUUUUGCAUGCAUGCAUUGCAUGUUCCCUGAAGCCAUCAAUCAACUGGAUUGCAGCUUCUGAUCUUGAAGAUGAGAGUGCAAAAUUGACACCAGAAGCACAUGCCGCUGCAUGGGAGACUUUGAGGAAUGCAGAAUGUGUCUUAGUUCCAGGUGGAUUUGGUGAUCGUGGUGUGGGAGGAAUGAUAUUGGCUGCAAAGUAUGCUAGAGAGAAUAAUGUACCCUAUCUUGGGAUUUGCUUGGGCAUGCAAAUUUCUGUAAUUGAGUUUGCUAGAUAUGUUCUGGGUUUAGAAAGGGCAAACAGUUCAGAGUUUGAUACCCAGACUUCAGAUCAUGUUGUGAUUUUCAUGCCUGAGGGUUCAAGAACACAUAUGGGAAGCACAAUGAGACUAGGCUCUCGAAAAACACUAUUCCAAACCCAUGAUUGCAUUUCUUCAAAAUUGUAUGUGAUUUAUCAACUUUCCAAUUUCAGGAGUACAUGAAGUUUGUCUGUGAAUGCAAUAUAGAACUUUUACAUUUCAUUUUGCUCCAUAAUUCUUUUAUUACUCUACAUCAAUGCAUGGCUAGAGUCCUAACUGGACCUUAGGGCGAUUAUUCUUUUAUGUCAAUGCGGUGGUUCACAGGUCACAAGGCUAGCCUUGUCCAUUUGUGUUGCCUAUCUGGCAGCAACUUAGUAUCCAAAGAGGUACUAUGAUGUGUUCUUAUAUAUUACUGCUAUGCAUGCCCAUCACAUUUUCUCUUGUUUGCUAGGUAUUGUAAUCCAAAGUAUGUGGACGAACGGCAUCGCCACAGAUAUGAGGUGAACCCAGAGAUAAUUGGGGUUCUUGAAAAAGCUGGCCUUAAAUUUGUAGGGAAGGAUGAAACUGGAAAACGAAUGGAGAUUUUGGAGCUUCCAGGUCAUCCAUAUUAUGUAGGAGUUCAGUUUCAUCCAGAGUUCAAAUCGCGACCUGGGAGGCCCUCUCCUCUGUUUUUAGGUUUGAUACUGGCGGCAACGAAGCAGUUGGAAGCAUAUAUAAAAACGAAUCAGAAUGGAAAUUGAUCUGCAAGUUUGUACUGUCUGGAUGCAAUAGCUUUUAGAAGCAAAUUUACUUCGUGCUGUCAUUUAGAGCCUAAGGUCGUUGUGGUCACAUGCUUUUGUUUGGGGUUUUGCUGGGAUAUUGCUUUCCUGAGAACAUGCUGAAGAGUGAAGACUUUGCCCAAGUAAACGUUUGCUUAUUCAUUAGUACAGUUGUGGGUAUGAUUUUUAUGUUUAAAUAUCUCCCAAACCGUGUCUUGGGAGAUUUACUAAUCAUUGAACUAUGCAUUUCAUCCAUUUUUUUCUUUCAAAUCUAAACUAUAUUCACACUGUGAAUCUAUUUAAGAAUUGAAAGAUUAAAUCUGUUUGAUUCAAUCUUAGCUGUGUACAAAGUUAGGUCAACAAAAUAAUGUGACAAUAUAGUGUUGUGAAUUAAAUCUAUUUGAUUCA